CUUAAAGAAAACGUUUGUAGGCAAGGGGAGAGAAACCAUGACUCCGAACUUAAGAUCAAGCUUUUUGGUCUUCCAUCAAGAAAACAGAUCAGGAUGACUAAUCCGCUGCGAUGAUAGAAGCUUUUGUAGGCUUUGGUUCUUGUAUAUCAAAAGGCGAAAAUAUGGGUUACUAAAAGGAGCCAAGUUCUUGGUUGUGCACAGAGGUUUUGAAUCAAGCGCAUAGCACAAAGGAUUAUGUCCUCUGGAACAGAGGAUACAACGGAUGAUUUCACGAUAGGACAUGCGGUAGAUGGCGUUGUGGAGAAGAGGGAAAUUGGAAAUUUGUAGUAGACAACAAGAAGGUAUCAAAAGUGGUUCUAAUCGAACGAGGAAUGGAUCUAGAGUAGUAUAAGGCUGCAGUUAGAAGAUAAUUUAAGGUGACGAUGGAGGCGGUAUGUCUAAGUUAUUUACCGGCAGGUUGCGUACUAAUGGAAGUUCGAGCUUUUGAGUUAGUGUUUUUGAGUUUUUUUUCGUUCUUACAGAUAUGUAUCGGUAGUGAUAAUGCUCUUUGUGAUCAUGUGGAUGAGGUUUUCUGGAUACCAAUGAUGUAUUCUGUCCAAAUAAUGUUUCCAAUCAAUCUUAAGGCUCUCAUGUUCUCUUGUA